rnacentral:rRNA from 1 species
UACGUAGGGUGCAAGCGUUGUCCGGAAUUAUUGGGCGUAAAGAGCUCGUAGGCGGUUUGUCGCGUCUGCUGUGAAAACUCAGGGCUUAACCCUGAGCCUGCAGUGGGUACGGGCAGACUAGAGUGUGGUAGGGGAGAUCGGAAUUCCUAGUGUAGCGGUGAAAUGCGCAGAUAUCAGGAGGAACACCGAUGGCGAAGGCAGGUCUCUGGGCCACUACUGACGCUGAGAAGCGAAAGCAUGGGGAGAACAGG